UGCCUGUGAUGUAUGAAUAUUUGUCCGUACCAUCUGAGAUUCUCUUUUAGAGUUCUCUGAUCGAUAAACCAAUUCUUGAAUCUGAGGCUU